GUUCUAUAGAUUUAUAAUUUUAGAUUUGACCUGCUCUAUGAUUUAUUAAAUGGCUGCGGUAUUAUAACUGUACUAAGGUAGCAUAAUAAUUUGUCUUUUAAUUGAAGGCUAGAAUGAAUGGUUUGAUGAAAAAUUAACUUUCUUUAAUUAAUAUUUUGAAUUUGAUUUUUAAGUUAAAAAGCUUAAAUUUUUAUAUAGGACGAGAAGACCCUAUAGAAUUUUAUUAUUUUUAUUUAUUAAUUUAAUUGUUGUUAAUAUCUAUUUUUAUAAAAAUAAUUUUGUUGGGGUGAUUUAAAAAUUUUUUUAACUUUUUAUUUAUUAUACAUUAAUUAGUGUUUUUUUGAUCCUAAAUUUUAGAUUAUAAGAUUAAAUUACCUUAGGGAUAACUUUUGUAAUUUAUUUGGAGAGUUCUAAUCGAUAAAUAAGUUUGCGA
rnacentral:rRNA from 1 species